rnacentral:rRNA from 1 species
UUUUCACUAAAAAAUUUUNCUUUU